GAAGAGACGAUAAAAAUAAUUGGUCCGGAAGGAUUUCUUUUCCUGAUACAUACGGGGCUCUGUGGUGCGUAGUGUGUGCAUUUAUAAAUAUUAAUAUGAAACGAGCAGCCAUUGGCUGAGCCAUCCAGUUCUUCUUUAAGGACCUUUGCUGUCUGAGGGCACUGGUGGCGCAGCAGUCCUAUUGAUCUGACAUCUGUAGGCUUCUCUCCAUAAAGGUUAAACGCACAAAGUGGUCCGUUGCAGUCAGCUGUAACCCCUCAGUUUAUCGGAACAUCACCAGCUGUUUUCAAGCUGGCGAAAGUACUUCUGCAACUCUUUAACAUCGAAGUCCCGGGACCCUCUUCAUCCGUGCGAAACCAUCCAGGCGGCACCAGGCGACAAGCAGGCAGGAACCCACCUUGGAAGGGACGCCAGUAGAACUGAAGGCCUAGCACCAGCACAGUUGCAUAGAUCUUACCUGCCAUGACAAAAUUCCCGCCAUACGGAUGGAGAAGAAAUAGCCUGGAACGGGACCUGAACUUCAGAGAAAGCCACCAGUUCCGACCAUCUACAUUGAACUCAUCACGAAUAAAGAUGGAUCCAUUUGGUCUCCUGAAUAUGCUAAGAAGACGUUGGAGUGACCGGACAUGGAGGUUGGGGUCCAACACCCAGCAAAGCUGACCCAAAAAGCAAGAGCUGGGGAGAGGAUGCCAAUCUGUUGGCAGUCGCCUCACUUAAAUGUAGAAGAGUUCUUUUUUUUUUUUUUUAAAUAGCAACUCUAAGCUAGCUUGAGUAGGGGAUGAUGGGUAAACGGUCAGUUGUGUAGGUUGAAGUCAACUGAACCCGCUGCCUGUGCGGUUCUGCAUUAUCUGAAAGUCAUUUGAUGAGCUCCUGGGAAAAAUAUGAAGUGUGAGCCUCCCGAUAAUAG